UACGGGGGGAGCAAGCGUUGUUCGGAUUUACUGGGCGUAAAGGGCGCGUAGGCGGUCAGCACAAGUCAGUUGUGAAAUCUCCGAGCUUAACUCGGAAAGGUCAACUGAUACUGUGCGACUAGAGUGCGGAAGGGGCAACUGGAAUUCUUGGUGUAGCGGUGAAAUGCGUAGAUAUCAAGAGGAACACCUGCGGCGAAGGCGGCGCUCUGGGCCGGAACUGACGCUGAGGAGCGAAAGCGUGGGUAGCAAACAGG
rnacentral:rRNA from 1 species